GUGGGUAUAGCUCAGUGGUAGAGUGCAUGCUUAGCAUGCACGAGGUCCUGGGUUCAAUCCCCAGUGCCCCCA
rnacentral:tRNA from 1 species